rnacentral:tRNA from 3 species
GGGUAGGUCCUGAGGGGAGCGAGGUUUCGGCCUUCGCUAAGGGGAGCGAAAUUCUCCCCCCUACUCU